rnacentral:lncRNA from 1 species
AGGCCGCCGAGGCGGCGCCCGCCCGCCCGCGCUUCCAUCCGGGUUCUCGCGCGCUGCUCUCUCCCGGGCGCGGCGGUGGAGGGCCACGGUGGGGGGAAAGCCAGACCAUUUCCCGUGGCGGCAGCGGGACGCCUUUAUCCGCGAGCUUGAGGAAACCGGAAUUACAAAGGAGAACGGCUUCCUGUGAUGCUCAGCUGUGAUUACUUUCAACAUUCACCCUGGAUGUUCUCUUCACUGUGGGAUGAGGUAGUAGGUUGUAUAGUUUUAGGGUCACACCCACCACUGGGAGAUAACUAUACAAUCUACUGUCUUUCCUAAGGUGAUGGAAAAGUCUGCAUUCAUGGGGUCUCAUAGGAAACCAAGAACAAACUGCAGUGUUUUAAAGUAUAUCUUGCCUUAAAAGCAUUUGCUUAUGCUAUGCAUGCUUUUUAAUUUAACAAGUAGAUGAUGGGAAUGGGCAAGUUUUUACUUACUUUGCAUUCUGUGUCAAUGUAAAUGAAGAUUUAAUUUUGAUUGAUGAUGAUGAUUUAAUGUUAACCUUUCUUGAAAGAGACUGAUGCUUAUUCCAGAAGAAAAACUUGCUCUAUCAGAGUGAGGUAGUAGAUUGUAUAGUUGUGGGGUAGUGAUUUUACCCUGUUUAGGAGAUAACUAUACAAUCUAUUGCCUUCCCUGAGGAGUAGACUUGCUGCAUUGUUUUUAUCUAGAGGAUAUUAUAAAACAUAGGUGAAUUCUGACCUUUUGUUUUAUUUUACAGUUCAUUUCCUCAGUGCAAUAAACAUUGUUAUAACAUUUUUAGUGUUCAUGUUUAAAGAAAUUUGGACAAAUAUCUGAAUGAGAAAAGUAAGUAUCUAGGACCAGGCCUUUUGGGAUUAUUAAUAGAUGUAUAGUUUUAUAUUUCUGUUACACAUGCCCAGAGAAAGAUGUCACAGGUAAAUGGGCAUACCAACUGGAAGGGUACUGCUGGACUAAAUUGAAAUCUGGUUAUUUUAUUAUCAUACUUAAAAUGCUCUGAGUAUUAAUAUUACUUCACUGGUAUAUUGAUUUGGACAGACACAGGAAAGAGGGGCUCUGGCUUCUGUCUUAGUUCUCCUAAGGCCUCAAUUUUACCCACAAGACAAAGGAGUCACCCAAAACUCGGUUUGACAAAGCCCAUAAUUGGUAGCUUUAAAGAAAAUAUGAGAGGGGUAUUUUAAAAGGUGACUUGAAUGUUAGCAGUGUUGAUGGGCUCAUGUUUCAGCUUUUUCUAGUGCUCAAACUAUCUGUUGGACCUUCUAAGCAAGGCCAAAAGCUCUAGGUUUUAACUGUUUGCUGUAGUAAAGAGAGGGGGAAAGGCAAAACGUGGAAGCAAGGGCAGUUAUAUCUAACUAUAGUUCAGUGCAUUGGUAUAGUCAGUAUGAUCUUUUCAUGAAUAAAACUCCUUUGGAUAAGCUCAGGUCAAGUGAUAUAUCCUGAACCAAAUGUAAACUUUUUAUUUAAUAAUCUUGUGUAGGUGGACACUUUGGAAAAUUUGGUGUUUGUUACAUACAAAACAUUGACCACAUAGAGGAACAGGUGGGGAAUAUAUACGUCUUAUUUAAUGCCAAAGAAAAGGAGAAAUGUUUAAGAUUCUUUUUGGCUUAAUCUUUUUGCUUUUUGGCUUUUUCUUAAGUUGACUGCAUAACCUACCUGUUGAAUGUAUUGCAAGUAGCCAAGGAAUUUUGUGACCCCUUAUUCCUCCAGCAUGGCUAUCUACCAGUUUGCAGUUUUGUAACAUCCUUUACUGAGGCCUGGGGAUGAUUAUUUAUAUUUUAGUUAUGAAUUGCAUGAGGACUAACAUCCUUAUUAUACCAAAUAGAUGGAAUUUGUAGAACUGGUGUAUUUUGUAAAACCACUGAAGUGACUAUGCAAAGUGAUAGAAUCACUUAAAACUGGUCUUUGCCAGUGGUAAAAGUCAUGACCUGAAUUUGCUUCUGUUUUAAUUCAGGCAUCAAAAAUUGAAAUAAUGGAGAUGCUAGUUAUAAGUGAGAAGUAUGUGGCCAGUAAAUGGCAAAAGCUUUAGGCUCAUUUGUUUGACUUGAUAAGUAAUUUUCUGGUUACCAAGAGGCCAUUUUAUGAGAGUUGAUAUUUGAAGUUUUGAUAAUUGUUUUAAAUAAAAUAUACAGUGGGCUGAGUGUUAGAGAUUGUUGGUUUCUUUUUUAAUCCUCUGAUUAAAUUGGAUUAAUUUUUAACAUAACCUAAAAAUUUGAUUUUUUAAUCGAUUGCAAUUUUUUUGGCUUUUGCCAAGAUCACGUGACCAAGAACUUUAAAGAAUAUCAAGGAAUUCUAAAUGGUUGAAUUUUAAAUAACUCAAAGGCCUGAUUUAACAGGUGUGUGAAGUGCAUCUGCCAAGUAGAAGACCAGCAAGAAUAAAAUGGGUUCCUAGGAAGAGGUAGUAGGUUGCAUAGUUUUAGGGCAGAGAUUUUGCCCACAAGGAGUUAACUAUACGACCUGCUGCCUUUCUUAGGGCCUUAUUAUACCAGCAUACGUUUCCUUUCUGCCUUGGGUUCGUGUAAGCAAGAGUUGUUCUUCAUGCAGUGGUUCUCGUAAGUGGGAACAUUGCAGGCCUUCUGAAGACAGUAUUUACAUUGAUGAUUAGUAAACAGCAUUGCACUACAUCAGUCAUCUAAUGAGACUUUGAAUUUUCCAAAGUAAAUCUUAGUUGCUAAUGUAUCUUACAUUGGGGUAACUGGGAAGUUUUGGAAAGCAGUUUUCAUAUUCAUCUUUUACUUAAUUUUCCUUUUGUGACAUGGGGAGGAACAUCAGCUAUUCCCAUAUUAUGUUUGAAAGAAAGCAUUCGGGAUAUUUAUUUGGCUUUAACAUUAUGUGAAAUUGAUGUGUUUUCUGAGGUGUGGGAGGUAAUUGUGUUAAGUGGCUCAGUACAGCAUGCAGCUUGACAAUACAAAUGACAAUGGUUGCUGGGAUAGUAGACUAACAUUUUCAAUAAAAAUAUGACAUACUUAAACUUGUGCUUUUCUGUUUUGUGCUGAGUCUUCCUCACCCAGUAGUAUAGCUUAGACUGGCCUUGAACCUGAGAUCCUUCUAUCCCACUUCUCAAUGCUAGAAUUACACUUGUGUACCACUAUACCUGACACCAAAUCAUCUUUUUAGGUAUCUAUUAUAACUUCACUUUCUAUUAGUGUCUACUACCAUUAUUCAUAGAUGUAUUACUAAGGCUAAUUCAAUAUUUAUAAUUUCCUGUUUUGUAAAUGUUCGUGUAAUUUCAUAUUAUAUAUGAUUAUAAAUGUGGCUACAUUUCCAUACACCUUUGAGUCUUGAAUUUGCACAAGCAAAUACUACCUUGCAAAUACCUCUUCAUUUCCUCAGUAUAGUUCAAACAUUUACCAAAUGAGGGAAGCAGGUAACUUUACUAAUAGUAAUGUCUCCUAUGAAAACUUUGGGUAAGGAGGUUGGUGUCUUUGCUUUCCAUUGCUGCAAUAAAGACUGAGGAGGGAAGGAUUUAUUUUAGCUAAAAUCGCUGAUGUUACUCCACUGGGUAAGAUUAGGGCAGGAACCUAGAAGCAAGACCCGAAAGGGGGCUGUGGAACACUGCUGGCUUGCUUACCAUGGUUUGCUCAGCCUGCUUCCUUACAACCCAGAACCAGUUGCCUAGGGGUGGUAUCUCCUAAAACAGGUUGGCUAUGCCAAGCCCUCCCAACUCAGUUUAAUAUCUCACUUUCCUGCAGACCAAUCUGAUAGAAUUUUUCUCAUUGAGGUUCCCUCUACCCUGAUACCUUGUAAUCAAAAUGACAAAACUAAAACAAUUGGGAGUUCAGGGUAUACAUAUAUGAGACCAUUGAGGUGGAAUUGUGAAGGUUUUGUAUUUCAGGAGGAGAAACUUGUACAAAUACACUACUGGUGUUAGUGAUUAUAGCUAUCUUGUGAUACAGGGGUUUAGAUUGGUCAGUAAUUUGAUGGAAACAAAGAGAACUAGCAUUUGCUGUUAAGUCUGACAGUCUCAUGUCCUUGGCUGUCUUGGAACUCACUAUGGAAGCCAGGCUGGCCUCUAAACUGCUUGCCUACUUCUGCCAGAUUCUUAAAUUUUAAGACAUGGGCCAUCAUUUUAAGUCAUGUGUGUGAGAGAAAUGCAUUACCCUACAAUAAGAGUUAAGUUUCUUGCAGAGGAAAUUCAGUGUAUUAGGGGAAUCCUGAAAGUUAACCCUGAGGGGAUAGUGAAGACACUGAUCAGGUUCUCAGGAAAAGGCUUUUUGGCUGAGCUAAAAAUAAGAGAAUAUAGGUCCCUUGGGUGGUGGUUCUAUGAGCAUGGGCACAACAGCAUUGCAGUGGGGAGAGGCUGAUGACACCCAAAACUUCUCAAUCUUGGGAUUUGGCAGCCAGACUAGGAUCGAGCUCAAUGAUCAUGAGCAUCGGAUGUUCCUGAUGCUUUGGAAAUUUGGGUCACCUUAAAUUGAUUCCUGAUGUGCUUUUUAAAGUAAUAUAAUCAGGCCUGCAAGGAAGUUUGAGUACCAGUGCACUAAGAAAAGGGUAGAUGGGAGUAAGAGCAAGUGGGGGAGAGAGCUGAAACAAGGUGUCCAGAAACUGCUCCCCAUAAGAACAUAAAUUAGUAGUCACAACAAAAUACCUUCAGAAGAGCUAAAUCAGGUCAGACCUUAGUUCAUUUUAGCAUCCUAUGUCCUCAACAGGCCUCCCCAGAUUUUACAGUGUGUAGAGAAUAACCCAAAGUCCAGUUGGUUUUGUGUUAAGGCGUAUAUCACUGUCUGGCCGUGUCAUUUUUCAGGCGUAAGUAUGCCACAGGCCUAGGCACUAAUGUUUGCAUUAGUUUUGGAAUUCAUGCUGUGUUGGUGACUGGCCUUUGGGCUCAGACUGAACAUUGUAGAGUGGGUGGCCGUGGGUUGGUUUGGUUCCUCCUUGUAGACCCCUAGCAACACAAGAUGGACUAGUCUGGAGGGAAAACAGGCCUUUUGAGUUGGGAGCUAACCCCUCCACGUAAGGCCCAGAGAAGGGACAUCAGUGGUAAAGGUGAGUAGGCUCAGUAAUUGGGUUUCCUGCAGUCAUUCUAAUUCUGAAUGGUUCCAUAACUGCUUAUUGGAACAGGAGCUUCAAGAUGGUUUCUAGUGGGAAAUUAACAGAUCAAACCAAGACUACUGUAAACUACUGAAGGUACCAGCUAGUGCUAAGACAGCAGAAGUGAUUACAUGUCCAGAAAACCUUUUUGUUUAUAAAAUGUCACAAAAACAUUGUUAAAAUGAGAAUAAAAGCCUUAAUCUUUUACAUGUGGACUUGCAUGCCCACAUCAAGGACUUUGUAGAAUCAUGCUUUGAUAAGGAAUAAAGUAAGCAUCAUCAGGAAAUGGCCAGUUUUUAAGGGAAGUAGAUGAACAACGAAAUGUACUUCAUUAAAGAAACAAAUAGACAUCAGUCAACAGAAAAAACUGAAGGCUAUUUUAAGGUGGGGGUGGUGUGGAGAGAUCAAAGAAUUUACACUGUAACCAAUAUACAAGGAUAUUAAAAUUUUUUAAUUUCAUGAAACGAAAAUGGGAACCACAUACUAAAACAAGUAGUACUAAAAGUUUAUUGUGACCAGUAUCUACAUCAUGAAAAUAACUCAUUGUUAACACUUAAC